GAGAUAGACGCUGGCGGCGUGCCUAAUACAUGCAAGUCGAACGAGGUAGCAAUACCGAGUGGCGAACGGGUGAGUAACACGUAGGUAACCUGCCCUUAAGCUUGGGAUACCCAGAGGAAACUUUGGCUAAUACCGGAUAACAACAGAGAAGGCAUCUUUCUUUGCUUGAAAGGCCCCUUCAAGGGUCACUUAAGGAUGGACCUGCGGCGCAUUAGCUAGUUGGUGAGAUAACAGCCCACCAAGGCGAGGAUGCGUAGCCGAACUGAGAGGUUGAUCGGCCACAUUGGAACUGAGACACGGUCCAAACUCCUACGGGAGGCAGCAGUAAGGAGUUUUCGGCAAUGGGGGAAAUCCUGACCGAGCAACGCCGCGUGAGCGAUGACGGCCCUAAUGGGUUGUAAAGCUCUGUUGUAAGCCAUGAAUGAUAACUUUAGGAAAUGAAAGCUAUUUGACGACAGCUUACCAGAAAGCCACGGCUAACUACGUGCCAGCCGCAGC
rnacentral:rRNA from 1 species